ACCCCACUCUAAUCCAAUAAACCUACUAAGUUUAAAGAAAACACUCAAACGCAAAAAGUAUCUCACAAAACCGUCUCAAGCUAAUAAACCGCAAGGGCCAAACAAUCAGUCCACAAAAGAAAGAAUAACACUCUCUCCCUCUUGCAUCAUGGAGAAGCAACAUUCAAACUAACAAUGCUUAAAUUCCCGAAAAAAUAUGAGCUACUAACUUUUAAAAUUAAUGUGUCACAAUUAAUAAACUAGUCGUUAGUAGAAGUAAAAAGCCUUUCACAUUUUUUGAUAGCUGGUUUUCCCUAAAAAGCAUCAAAGUGCUAGUUUAUGGACUUAACAACCUUAAUAGCCCAUAAAUCAAAAACCGCCGAGGAUAAGCUCGGCGGUGUCCUAAAAUACACAAACCCACACAGUCACAAGUAGGCUUAAAAACAGCCAACUUAUUGCGUUCUAGCAAACAAACACCUACAAAACACAUUAAACAAAUAAAUUUUAACCUAAAGGGAAUCUAACGCGAAACAACUUACAACCCUAUCAAACAGGCAUUCUAUUAGUAUAAUCAGCCUUAUCCAACACAUCGACCUAAAACUCAAGUGACCAAAUAACCCUUAAUAACAUCAAAUACACAUAAUGAACUCGACAAUACCGUUUUUCGCCUGUUUACCAAAAACAUCGUUUCCCGAAAUGCAUCAACAUGGGAAAUAAUGCCUGCCCAGUGAACCAAGAAAGAUUUUAACGGCCGCGUUAGCGUGAGCGUGCUAAGGUAGCGUAAUAAAUAGCCUUUUAAUUGGAGGCCAGUGAAUGGCAACACGGAAAACCAUUGUAUCAUGUGCAUUAGUAAAACUUUAUUUUUGGGUGAAAAAGCCCAAAUAACCGAGGAAGACAAAAAGACCCCGCGGAGCUUUACCUAAUAAAGCCAAACCAAUCCACCAGAUCAGUUACGCUAAUAGGUUUGGUUGGGGCAACCCUGGAACCUCCAAAACUUCCAGUUUAACUAAAAACCUCAUCUAAAACACCUCCGGACUAAAAAGAAGCUACCCCGGGGAUAACAGCGUAAUCCAACUCAAGAGUACGCAUCGAAAGUUGGGUUUGCGACCUCGAUGUUGGCUUAAGGUAAUUCACAUAAGCGCAGCCGCUAUGAGAGAAUAGUCUGUUCGACUAUUAUACCCUUACAUGAGCUGAGUUAAGACCGGCGCAAGCUAGGUUGGUUUCUAUCUCCUCCACAUUACUCUACUCUUAGUUGUACGAAAGGACCCCAAGAUGUGCAAACUUUAGCAACUUUAAUUAAACCCAACUACCUCUCAAUCCAACCAUUACCAAACAU
rnacentral:rRNA from 1 species